rnacentral:rRNA from 1 species
GGGGAAUCUUGCGCAAUGGGCGGAAGCCUGACGCAGCGACGCCGCGUGGGGGAUGAAGGCCUUCGGGUUGUAAACCUCUUUCAGCAGGGACGAAGUUGACGUGUACCUGCAGAAGAAGCGCCGGCCAACUACGUGCCAGCAGCCGCGGUAAUACGUAGGGCGCGAGCGUUGUCCGGAGUUACUGGGCGUAAAGGGCUCGUAGGCGGCUUGUCGCGUCGGCUGUGAAAGCCCACGGCUCAACCGUGGAAUUGCAGUCGAUACGGGCAGGCUAGAGGGCGGCAGAGGGGAGUGGAAUUCCCGGUGUAGCGGUGAAAUGCGCAGAUAUCGGGAGGAACACCGGUGGCGAAGGCGGCUCCCUGGGCCGUCCCUGACGCUGAGGAGCGAAAGCGUGGGGAGCGAAC